ACCAAAUUCUCAACGAUGGAUAUCUUGGUUCCCAUAACGAUGAAGAACGCAGCGAAGUGCGAUAAGCAAUGCGAAUUGCAGAACCGUGAGUCAUCAGAUUUUUGAACGCAACUGGCGCCGGCUGGCUCUCCAGCCGGCAUGCUUGUUUCAGUGUCUC
rnacentral:rRNA from 2 species